CGGGGAAACUGCUAUCCCUGCUGC
rnacentral:siRNA from 1 species